UACGUAGGUGGUUUAUUUAGUCAGAUGUGAAAGCCCCGGGCUUAACCUGGGAACUGCAUUUGAUACUGGUAAACUAGAGUAUGGUAGAGGGGGGUAGAAUUCCUAGUGUAGCGGUGAAAUGCGUAGAUAUUAGGAGGAAUACCAGUGGCGAAGGCGGCCCCCUGGGCCUAUACGUGACACUGAGGUACGAAAGCGUGGGUAGCGAACA
rnacentral:rRNA from 1 species